UACGUAGGGGGCUAGCGUUGUCCGGAAUCAUUGGGCGUAAAGCGCGCGUAGGCGGCCCGGUAAGUCCGCUGUAAAAGUCAAAGGCUCAACCUUUGAAUGCCAGUGGAUACUGCCGGGCUAGAGUCCGGAAGAGGAGAGUGGAAUUCCAGGUGUAGCGGUGAAAUGCGUAGAUAUCUGGAGGAACACCGGUGGCGAAGGCGGCAUCCUGGACCGGCAUUGACGCUGAGGCGCGAAAGCCAGGGGAGCAAACGGG
rnacentral:rRNA from 1 species